rnacentral:ncRNA from 1 species
GCGUCCUGCUCGUGACCGUCUUCUCACCUUCACGGGGCAGGCGGAUAAAGAGAAGGCCCUCGCGAGGACGUGACUCGCGAGGGCCUUCC